rnacentral:tRNA from 1 species
GAGGAUAUAGCUCAUUGGUAGAGCACAUGCUUAGCAUGCACGAGGUCCUGGGUUCAAUCUCCAAUAUCUCCG